UUCCUUGAAAGUAUGACUAAACAAUGCAAGAGAAGCAUGGGCAAACAAAAGGACAUAGAGGAAGCCCACGGCUAGGACUUCAAAGCUGGAAAGUUCAAUGAUUCAGCUUGAGUUUUUGGGAUGUUCUUGCUGUCCUUGAGUAGUUUAUCACACUAUGAUUGAUGAUGACUCACUCCUUUGAUGAAAAGGAAGACAAGGAUCCAUGAAUGAGCUGGUUGCAAGGUUGGAAAAGCUCUUAAAAUGCUAAAAAACUCCAGCUGAAACCGUGGGAGCAUGGGCUGUUUUCUUGGCCAGCUUUGUUUAAUUAAAAGAGAGAAAUCACAUGGAUUUGAACAACUCAGAAGAAGGACAUAAAAAGGGCUCCCAAACAUCCUAUAAAUAGACCCCUUGGCUUCCAUUGUAAUCAUCCCUGGACACCAUCAUUCUAGCAUAAAAUAGCUCUAGUUUCUUCUUCCAUUUGUGAGCAGGCCAUUGCCUUCUCCAAAGGUAUGAUCUUGUUCUCCAUAGCCAUGCUUGGCUAAACUUCUUUAUGUUUUGGGUUUUUAUGAAGCUAAUAAAUGAGUAGGUUAUAAAUCCUUGUUCUAACUCAUGUUAUCUUUAUGCUAGAACUUCAACUUCUGAACUUAUUGCUUUCAUGUAUGCUUGCUUCUCACCGAAUUAAACAAGCCUAGGAUUAGCUUCCUUCCGUUGAUUCAAGCUUGUAUGCAUGUUAGCCUCUUACUAAUUUCUUUGAAACCGACCGGAGACUUGGAAUUAGGGAACCUGUUUUGAAGUUACUUGAUUUGUUUCAUUACACUAGACAUAGGGAUGGACUUCAAGUUUGUUGAUCCGACUUAUCUUUCUUAAUGCUUUAAGUUAACUCACGAAAUAACAAGACAUUGUGACUGGUUUUAGCUUAAAAGGAUUACUCGUACGGCAAAAUCGACAAGUAAUUAAUGAGAUUAAAUCAUCUAGAUUUCACUUAGAGAAUAACAUGAAUUAGAACUUGGCUACUUACCCUAAAUUAGUGGAUUAUAAACCCAAAGCAUUCUUCUCUUAUAUAUUUUACUUAUCAUAUCACUGUUUACCUUGCUGCACAAUCAACUCAAUUGCAUAUGUUAUUUAUUGUUUUCUCACUUCAAACUUUGGCAAUAGAAACUAAAGAUUCAAUCCUCAGGUCUCUGUGGUUCGAUAAUUAUUAAAACCGGGUUAAGUCUGUACACUUGCAGAUGACCUAUCAUGUCAUUCAACCCUUGGAAACUGCUGUGAAAGAUCUACGUAAAGCUAUAAUCAAACUAAAUAACUUGCAUCGAAAGCGUGCCUAUCAAAAGACGAAAUUAGUUCUUGCGAUUAGGGAAGAUGCUGACCAAUUAGAUUCUUGCCACUUUUUACUGAUUAGUCAAAAUGAAAAUGAGCCUGCUGACGAAGUUGCAUAUGCAUGUGUGGUGUGUCAAUAAGAAUUGUUUGAGGAAUUUGACCUUAAUGAUUGUGAUCUAGUUAUGUUGCUAGAAAAACUGAGGUAGGUAAACCGAAGUUUGCUGCCACAUUUUGUCGGCCCUUAGAGACUUAUAAGUAUUUUAGUGGAAGAUAAAGUUUUAGUUUUUUGUGAGGUUUGGAAUGCACUUUUUUUGUUGAUGGUAUUCUUUGUUUUGUGAGGUAUGCAAUAUUUUAUGUACAUCUUUACUUCAACUUUUUGCUAGUUAUAUUUAUCAUUUGAGGUCUGAAAGUUCUGGACUGUUUAGUGUUUUCUGGAAUGUUCAGCAUUACUUUUUCUUAAAAAUGGCCAACAAUGAACCUGAUCAAAUUGUGUGAAACGUAGAAGAACAUGUGAAAAUAUCAUUUUCAUUUCAGUUAGUUUUUGUUAUACUAUAUGUUAGACUUUCAUGUGGAAUUAAAUGGUGAAGGAACAACAAUUCCACAGUUUUUACAACACGUGGAUAUUAAAGUCUUGCGUGCUUGCGAGCAUGUGGAACAUGUCAUUCAGCCUUUGGAAACUGCUGUGAAGGAUCUACGUGAAACUAUAAUUAAACUGGAGCAAAUUUACGAGGUACUUGCCGCGGUGAAUGACUAUGAAGUGACAUAAACACCAUUACACGACACAUUAAUGCCCAUAUCGGGGUAUUUGCCUAUAUUUUUAUAGUUGAGCUCCUAACAAAUGAUGAGCUCGUGGGUGAUAGGAGUGGUCGGGACCAAGCUAGAAAGGUCAUGUUCCAUGAAGAAUGGAAUUCAACUGGAGGUGUGGAUGCUUUUUAGUUUGAAGUAAUUAAGCUAUUUUCUGGUUCCAGUUCGAACACUGAUAAUUCUAUUAGGACAUUAAAUAGCCCGCAUCAAAAGCGUGACCAUCAAAAGACAAAAUUAUUUAUUGCAAUUAGGGAAGAUGCUGACCAAUUGGAUUCUUGCCACUUUUUACUGAUUAGUCAAGGUGCAAAUGAAUCUGCUGACGAGGUUGUCAAUGCUCGGGUGGAGUGUCAACAAGAAUUGUCUAACGAGUUUGACCUUAAUGAUUGUAAUCUUAGUAUGUUGCUAGAAAAACUAAAGGCAGAUAAACCAACGUUUGUUGCCACAUUUUGGAGACUUAUAAGUACUUUAGUGGAAGAUGAAGUUUUAGUUUUUUGUGAGGUCUGAAAUGCACUUUUUUGUUAAUGAUACUCUUUGUCUUGUGAAGUCUCGAAGGUUUGGAGUAUUUUGUGUACUCUUUACUUCAAAUUUUUGCUAGUUAUUAUCUUGUGAGCUUUGGAAGUUUUAAAAUGUUUAGUGUUUUCGGGAAUGUUCAGUAUUACUCUUACUUAAAAAUGACCAACAAUCUGAUCAAGCUGUGUUAAACGUAGAAGAACAGGUAAAAAUAUCAUUUCCAUUUAGUUAGUUUUUGCUUCAUACUAUAUGUUAGACUCUCAUUUGGAAUUAUAUGGUGAACGAACUGUAACUGUGAAAAUGAUGAAACUAAAUGGAAAAAGAAGGAUUAGGAAUUAUGCAUGAGCUUUGGAGUUGGCAUUGGAGUCGGAUUUGACAUUAGGAGGUUUUUGGAAACCCUUCCAACUAAGGAGAAAGCCACUACUAUAUACGUGUCGUGUCCAAUGCCACCCGAAGGAUUUCAUGGGGCGUAUGUUGAUGACGCAUUAAGAGGGGAAAAGGAAAAAAAAAACUGGGGAUGGGAGGGUAUAUAAAGGAUCACAGGGGCAAAUUUAUUGAAGGAUUUUACAAGCAGCUUGAGGUAGAAGGGGUGCCUCAAAACUCCCUUCCAGCCAAAGAACAUGUCAUUUAUAUAUGAGCAUUGAGGUGUCAACAAAAGAGAGUUAAGAAGGUGGUGGUAUAUAGCGACAGUAAGACCGCCCCUAAACAUGGUGGAUGGAGAGGGGUCGCCGAACAAUGAAGAGAUAGCACGCCUUAGAGCUUUCAUGGAUGGGGAAUCCUUUGAGAAUAUUUAAUUUAAAAAACUGCAUUUAGAGGCUAAUGAAUUAGCGGAUGCUCUAGCAAAAGAGGGAGCCGAAUCAGAAAAGACAACAGUGCAAGAAUUUUCAAAGCUACAAAAACUCCCAAAGUUGACUUCAUUCAUGAGAAAAAGGUUAGCUGAUGAUAAUUCAGGAAAGCCAUACAAGCAUAAAAUAAGACCAUGGCAGAGCCCUCCAAAAGCAAACUCAGGGGAGGAGAAAACUGAGAACCUGGGAGGAGGCUCUGAGGAGAAGCCUGAGAAGAAAGAAGAGGAGAGAAGACAGGGCAAGCGCCUACAAAGCAAGCAGGACAGGACACAACACAAGAGAAGGCAGGACACGACACACAAAACUGAUUUUAUGUUCAGAGGAAACUUUUUUUUACUUGUUUAAGACUAUAAAUUGCAUUGUUUGUUACUAGAAUGUGUAUACAACAAGCAUUUGAUAUGCCCGAAAGACUUUCUCAACCACACAUUUGGAUGAAAAGAUUUUGUUCUUACAAAAAAAAAUCUCAAUUUUUACUACAAGUGGAUAUUGAGGUCUUGCGAGCAUGUUGAACAUAUCAUUCAACCCUUCAAAACUGCUCUGAAGAAUCUACGUGAAGGUAUAAUCAAACUGUAACAAAUUCACGGGGUACUAUGACUACAAAGUGUCAUAAGCUAUUACAUGACACAUUGAUGCCCAUAUAUGGGGUAUUUGCCAAUGUUUUUCUGACUGGGCUCAUAGCAAAUGAUGAGUUUGUGGGUGCUAGGAGUGUUCGGGACCGAGUUAGAGAGGUCAUGUUCAAUGAAGAAGGAAAUGCAGCCAGGGGUAAGGAUAAUUUUGAAUCGAAGUAAUUUAGCUUUUUUCUAGUACUUGGAAAAAUAACCAACAAUGAACCUGAUCAAGUUGUGGAAACGUGGAAGAAUAGUCAUUCAGCCCUUGAAAACUGUUGUAAGGGAUCUACGUGAAGCUAUAAUCAAACUACCCCAAAUUCAUGGGGUACUUGUCACCAUGAAUGACUACGAAGUUCAAUGAACACUAUUACACAGCAUAUUGUGCCCAUAUCUGUGGUGUUUGCUAAUGUUAUUUUGGACACUUCUCCAUAACCAUGUCUGAAGCAUGAAGGCUAAGAGUACAUUUACGUCUCGUCAUGACCUUUGCCUCGACACAUAUCCUCGUUCGCUCACUCCAAAAUGUCAUUUGUGGGAAUCUAGCUUGUGCUCUCCUUACUAAUGACCAAAUUAUUUUGAGUGGGGUCUGGAAUCAUAAGUUGUUGCACUCUACUUUGGUUUCACCUCAUGUCUUAAACAAGAUAACCACUCUACCUCCUUCUUUGGAGCUCAAUUUGAGGACAUCCCUAUUUUCUGCUACUUACGGUUUUGAGUGAGCGGAGGCGGAGUGAUAGACGUAGAGGAAAAUGAAAGGGAAGGCUUUCCCUUUAAAAUUCUUCUAAACUCAUCCCCAAUUUGGGGGAACAUAGGCUCAAAUCAUAUUUGACUUCGGUUGUUUACCGACAUAUACCCUUCACAAUAAUUAUCAUAGCGAGCUGCUAGGCCAGAAGAUGCUUGGGCCACAUGUUCGUAGUUUUUUUUAGAAAGAUAAAGAUAUAUUUGUGGUCUUGUUGUUGCCGCAUGUAUAUCUUACCCUGUGUAUGAUGUGUCAAAAUUAUCCACACUGGCAGAUAAAAACCUAAUAGGUAAAAUUAUUCGUAUUAGUG